ACGUAGGGGGCAAGCGUUGUCCGGAUUUAUUGGGCGUAAAGAGCGUGUAGGCGGCUAGGUAGGUCCGUUGUGAAAACUCGAGGCUCAACCUCGAGACGCCGGUGGAAACCAUCUAGCUAGAGUCCGGAAGAGGAGAGUGGAAUUCCUGGUGUAGCGGUGAAAUGCGCAGAUAUCAGGAAGAACACCCGUGGCGAAGGCGGCUCUCUGGGACGUGACUGACGCUGAGACGCGAAAGCGUGGGGAGCGAACAGG
rnacentral:rRNA from 1 species